CCUACGGGAGGCUGCAGUGAGGAAUAUUGGUCAAUGGGCGCGAGCCUGAACCAGCCAAGUAGCGUGAAGGAUGACUGCCCUACGGGUUGUAAACUUCUUUUAUAAAGGAAUAAACUGAGACACGCGUGCCUGUCUGUAUGUACUUUAUGAAUAAGGAUCGGCUAACUCCGUGCCAGCAGCCGCGGUAAUACGGAGGAUCCGAGCGUUAUCCGGAUUUAUUGGGUUUAAAGGGAGCGUAGAUGGGUUGUUAAGUCAGUUGUGAAAGUUUGCGGCUCAACCUUAAAAUUGCAAUUGAUACUGGCAGGCUUGAGUACAGUUGAGGUAGGCGGAAUUCGUGGUGUAGCGGUGAAAUGCUUAGAUAUCACGAAGAACUCCGAUUGCGAAGGCAGCCUACUAAGCUGCCACUGACAUUGAUGCACGAAAGUGUGGGUAUCAAACAGGAUUAGAUACCCUUGUAGUC
rnacentral:rRNA from 1 species